AUUGAACGCUGGCGGCAGGCCUAACACAUGCACGUCGAGCGAGCGGCGGACGGGUGAGUAAUGUAUGGGAAACUGCCUGAUGGAGGGGGAUAACUACUGGAAACGGUAGCUAAUACCGCAUACCAUCAGAUGAGCCCAGAUGGGAUUAGCUAGUAGGUGGGGUAACGGCUCACCUAGGCGACGAUCCCUAGCUGGUCUGAGAGGAUGAUCAGCCACACUGGGACUGAGACACGGCCCAGACUCCUACGGGAGGCAGCAUUGGGGAAUAUUGCACAAUGGGCGCAAGCCUGAUGCAGCCAUGCCGCGUGUAUGAAGAAGGCCUUAGGGUUGUAAAGUACUGUCAGCGGGGAGGCGUUACCCGCAGAAGAAGCACCGGCUAACUCCGUGCCAGCCGCCGCGGUAAUAA
rnacentral:rRNA from 1 species